rnacentral:sRNA from 1 species
ACAGAAUGAAGCCAUUCAAAAUCUUCUAUAGGGACAUGUACACAACAUGAGGUGUUCAGUGGAAGAGAUGGGUGAAAUCAGAAUCUGGCACGCCGGAGCCCAUGAUCUCCAGAAAGCACUGGAGAAGCAAUCCAAAGGCACCAGCUUUCUGCCGCAUUUGUUCAACGCAUUCAGGCAGUACAGCCAGUUUUAAAUAUGGAGAAAAUGAGAUAGUAAUGGUCCAAGAGUUUGGUGAAAACUGAGAAGCAGCCUAUGCCUGUGAAAUAAAAGAGUGCCCCAUUUUGGUAAAAACAAAUAACAGUGCACCCGUGGAAUGUUUUUACUGCUGGGUGAUCAAGUGGUCAGAGACAGCUUUUUAAGUGAUCAUGUCUGCCAUGCGAUAAAGACAUUCACUGUUAAGGCAUUAGACUUGCUGAAAGAAAAGACCUCCUUCUCCAAAGUCACCAUAUGGAUUGAUGGGACAGCCAGUCAGUACAAGGGUAAGGCAUUCUUUGACCUUGGCAAUAUGCUAGGUCUAAAUGUGCAGCGGUGCUAUUUUGGCUCUGAGCAUGGCAAGGGUGAGUCUUAUGGUGAGACAGAGGUCUUAAGCCAAGCUUUAAAAAGAGCUGUCCAUGGAGGAAAAUCUUUUAGGGAUGCAAAGGACAUGGUUAACCACCUGUCUAAACUGGACUC